rnacentral:rRNA from 1 species
UACCAUGCAAGUCGAACGAUGAACCGCUUUCGGGCGGGGAUUAGUGGCGAACGGGUGAGUAACACGUGGGCAAUCUGCCCUGCACUCUGGGACAAGCCCUGGAAACGGGGUCUAAUACCGGAUAUGACUGUCCGCCGCAUGGUGGAUGGUGUAAAGCUCCGGCGGUGCAGGAUGAGCCCGCGGCCUAUCAGCUUGUUGGUGAGGUAGUGGCUCACCAAGGCGACGACGGGUAGCCGGCCUGAGAGGGCGACCGGCCACACUGGGACUGAGACACGGCCCAGACUCCUACGGGAGGCAGCAGUGGGGAAUAUUGCACAAUGGGCGAAAGCCUGAUGCAGCGACGCCGCGUGAGGGAUGACGGCCUUCGGGUUGUAAACCUCUUUCAGCAGGGAAGAAGCGAGAGUGACGGUACCUGCAGAAGAAGCGCCGGCUAACUACGUGCCAGCAGCCGCGGUAAUACGUAGGGCGCAAGCGUUGUCCGGAAUUAUUGGGCGUAAAGAGCUCGUAGGCGGCUUGUCACGUCGGUUGUGAAAGCCCGGGGCUUAACCCCGGGUCUGCAGUCGAUACGGGCAGGCUAGAGUUCGGUAGGGGAGAUCGGAAUUCCUGGUGUAGCGGUGAAAUGCGCAAUAUCAGGAGGAACACCGGUGGCAAAGGCGGAUCUCUGGGCCGAUACUGACGCUGAGGAGCGAAAGCGUGUGG